ACAGCAGUAGCCGCGGUAAAACGGAGGGUGCAAGCGUUAAUCGGAAUUACUGGGCGUAAAGCGCACGCAGGCGGUCUGUCAAGUCAGAUGUGAAAUCCCCGGGCUUAACCUGGGAACUGCAUUUGAAACUGGCAGGCUAGAGUCUUGUAGAGGGGGGUAGAAUUCCAGGUGUAGCGGUGAAAUGCGUAGAGAUCUGGAGGAAUACCGGUGGCGAAGGCGGCCCCCUGGACAAAGACUGACGCUCAGGUGCGAAAGCGUGGGGAGCAAACAGGAUUAGAUACCCCAGUAGUCCCUGUCUCUUAUAC
rnacentral:rRNA from 1 species